UGAUUCAUCAGAUUUUUUUUCUGAUGGUACUUUUAAUUAUGCGCCAAAAUAUUAUAUUCAGCUUUAUACAAUCAAUUGUUUACAAAAUGGAUUUUAUACGUAUUAUUAUUUAUUACUUAUAGAUAACACUUCAUCCAGUCGGUUCAGAUGAUAUAUUCAAUUACACAUCGAGAAAUGAAUUACCAGCAGAGGUAGGAGGGUCAGGAAAAUCACACAGUUUUUUCAACGAUGAACUUUACAAUGACUUGGUCGAUAUUCGUGAUGAUUUUCUUGAGCAGAAUGAAAUAUUGAACAACCAAAAUGAUGUAUGUGAAUCACCGACUUGAACAAGACGACGAAUAAACUAUUAUACCAAUGUAAUAUUUUAAGAAAAACGUAUUUUAUGAAGCACAUAAAGUUUAUAUUUUAAAACAAUUUACAACACUAGGUAUAAAAAAAUGCCAAUUUAUCAUUGUUAAGUGAAAUUGUUUUAUAAUUAAUUUAUUGUAGGUUGUUAUAAUUAUUUUUAGAUUACUGUGUUUUAUCGAUAGGCAACUUAACAUAGUUUAAAGUGAAUUGGGUACACAAAUUACAAUAAUUUAAUUUAAGAGUUGUGUUUGUCAUAUUAUGAUUGUAUACUUGAUUACAAGUUACAAGUUUACUACGUUAUUGAUUAAUGAUUUAUGUAAUAUUUUGAAAUUACCAUUUUAUAGCUCAAGCAAUUUUUGAAAACGAGAAUCAUUUUGUAAAUUUUUUAAUUUUUUUUUACUUAGAUAAAGUUGAACUAUUUUAAAAAUUAAUCGUUUUUAUCGUUAAACUUUUCCUACGUAGCUCAUAGCAGGCGUCUUAUCCAACAGCGUGCAGCGAUUCAAAAGAGAUUGAUUAGUGAGAAUUGUUUUCUAAAAAGUAUACAAGUGGGGCUCCCCCAAAAAAGUUAAAAUAAAACUCAAAGGCUGUUGUUAUUAGUGGAAAUUAAAAAAAAAGUUGAGCGUAAAUCCACAAUAUGUUUUUAUGAGUGAAAAAAUUCGUCAAAAUUAUGAAAACUUGCAAUCUGUAGUUAGAUAAAAAUAAAAUAAUUUUUAUUUAUAUCUAAGAUUUUAAAAUUUAAUACAAGGUUCUCCAUAAGAAGUUAUUUUAAUAAUAGAAGAAAAAUAUUAAAAAUAUGUUUGUAUGAUUUUUUUUCAUAAGUGUAAGUAGUUAAAAUGUUGAUAAAAUUAGAUAUUUAAAUGAGGAAUAAUGAUUUUAGUUAUUUUGUUAUAAUUAAAACAUUUUACUGUGGGUGCCCAUUUGAAACUAUUAAUGUAUAUA